rnacentral:lncRNA from 1 species
ACUGCAGCCAACCUUUGAAGGACACAUUUGGUUCUCAUCCCAGUUUCUCCGCCAUAUUCUUGGCUCCUGUCUUUGUGUUACUCUGCCUCUCCCAGCGUGGACUGACGUGUCUGAACUUGUGAGUGGAAAGACGCCUUUUCCUCCUACAAACUGAUUGCUCCAGUAUCACAGUGGCCGAAAAAGGCCAGCACGCAUCCCUGUCAAGAGGAAGGGCAGCAGGAGAGAGAAGGAGUAAGUUCUACGAUCCAGCCAUCAGAACCCUGUGAGCAGAGUGACUUCUGAUAACACGUCACUUCCGUUGUCCUUGCUGACCUCUGAAAAGGGAUAGAAACAGACUAUGAGCUCAUUGGGAACUGCGAGGGUGUCAUGAAGCUAAAACACUUCAGGGCAGUGUCUAGCCUGUGCUUAUCUGGCUAGUAGCCACAGUCGCCCAGCAGUAGCCACGCCCAGUAGUGGCCACGCCCAGCAGAAGCCACAAUCACCUAGCAGAAGCCAGUCACCCAGCAGUAGCCACGCCCAGCAGAAGCCACAGUCACCCAGCGGUAGCCACGCCCAGCAGUGUCCACACCCAGCAGUAGCAACGCCCAACAGAAGCCACGCCCAGCAGAAGCCACAGGCACCUAGCAGUGACCACAUCCAGCAGUGACCACGUCCAGCAGCGGCCACAGUCACCCAGCAUGCACUUCUGUCCUCUAACUCGGGUGUCAGUGCCCACGGAGGGGCCGAGAAGUGGCCAUUUCGCCCGUGAAAAUCCCACAUCUAUUGGGACCAGUAUCCUCCACUUGUGAGCACCCAGAAACAGCUUGUGACAAUCCCUAGCUGGCGAGAGGAGUCAUGCAGGGUCAGGGCGAGCUGUCCUGUUCGCAACUACCGGGCCUACGCUGCUCUCCUCCGGUUUCCUGGCCCACUUCUGUAGAAAUAGCUGGGGCAGUCUGAUCCCCAAGCCCACCCUGCUGUUUCUGAGCACCGUGAAUAAUCUCUGUGAGGAAAGCAGGUCACUCUCGGGUCCCCCGCGGCCCUCGGGGAGCGGAACACAGCAGAAAAGGGAAAGGCACGGGGCGCCUGGGUAAAUGAUCAGGACGGGUGGCGGUCAUGCCUGAAAGACACGAUUCAAAGCAGAGCCCAGAGCAGUGCCCCACUUUCCGUUCAGUUCCGGGGACAUCUAAGCUGGGGCUGUCCCGGAUGCCAUCCUCCUUUCCCAAGGGGUCGUUUUACCUGGCUGACACACUUCCUGGGCCGGUGGCUCCUGGCUUUGAAAGAAAUCCUUGAUGGAUGUCAUAAUAAAGAGGCUUGGUGGUGCG